rnacentral:rRNA from 1 species
GACGAACGCUGGCGGCGUGCUUAACACAUGCAAGUCGAACGAAGUGGCGCACGGGUGCGUCAUACGUGGGUAACCUGCCCUCCUUUUUGUGAUAAGCCUUGGAAACGGGUUCUACUACCGAAUAAAGGGGGAUGGGCUCGCGGACUAUCAGCUUGUUGGUGUGGUGAUGGCCUACCAAGGCGGUGACGGUUCGCCUGCCUGGGAGGGUGAGCUGCCACAGUGGGACGGGGCUACGGCCCAGACUCCUACGGGAGGCAGCAGUGGGGGAUAUUGCACAAUGGGCGAAAGACUCAUGCAGCGACGCCGCGGGGGGGAUGCAGGCUUUCGGGUUGUAAACCUCUUUCGCUAUCGAAAGGGUAGGUGGAGAAGAAGCGCCGGCUAACUACGUGCCAGCAGCCGCGGUAAUUC